CCGAUCCAAAGGCCUGGCUCAGGAGUGAUCCUGUGCCACCUGUACCAUCAAGAUCAAGAUCAAGAUCAGGCAGGUAGCGAUCAGCUGGGCGGCACUGGCAGGCUGGCAGCUGGCGGGAGAGUGAGAUGCAAUGGAGGACUACGAGCAGAAGAUCAACUCGGGAAAUGUCUUCCUUCAGAGUCAGGCAGUCACAAAGAUCUACGACAACUUGCUGGAGAAACACAAAGAUGAAACAAUUCUGUAUGAUACAGAGGAGGUCAAGACCCUAUGGAAGACAGCCAACACUGGGGGACCAACAGAGGCAGCGCUGGCCCUGGAGGCCCUGAUGUCCCUUGUACGAAUUAAUCGGCUUCCAGCUCCUGCCACCCUCCAAAACUUCCUGGCUGACGUAACCAGUGCCAAGUGUCCAAGCACCUUGCUGCAGGGUGUGACAGAGGUGGUGCUGCUGCUGUCCACCAUGGAGGGGAAUGACAACAAGUGCCCCUUCACUGGCCCACCCACCGGCCCCACCCACCCAUUCGUCACCCUCCUCACCAAGCGGGCAGACCUGGCGCCGGCCCUACUGGAGGAGGCUGCCCACCUCCUGCGACACCCUGACCAGAGGGUGCGGGAGGGAAGUGCCAGUCAGCUCCGGCCACUGCUGCUUCACACAUUCUGCUUGACAGAGAGCACACUGUGGAUUGCCCGGCCACUGCUCAACCUCCUCACCUCAGCCCAGACCCACCACAGCCUUGUCCCGCUGCUCUGCCGAGUCGCCACACUCAUCAGGGACACAAGCAGGGAGCAUGUGGAACGCAAGGUGAUGGUGCUGACAUCCCUGGCAGAGCUGGCCAUGAGGGAGAACCUGACACGCCUGCAGUCUGCCGUGCUCCCCUGCCUCCUCAUGGCUUUCCCUCUUGCCCUGAAACACGGCUUGGGCACUAGGACAUUGGAGAGGGAUGUGAGGCUGCUGGGGUCCCGGCUUGGGCGCGGCUGUGACGUCACGGUCUGUGCGCUGGCUGAGGUGCUGCCCUCCACCUCAGGCCGCCUUCAGAUCAGCCUCCUGCAGCUUGGUGCCACGCUUCUGUCACACAAGGACGGGAACCCACUCAUUGGCGCCCGGCUGCUGCCCUCACUGCUGCAGGUGCUGUCCGCCCCCUGUACUGCUGUGCCAGGCCUCACCACGGCUGCAGCGGCACUCAUCUCCCUCGUGCAAGCCACCCCAGCACAAGCCUCGGCCAACACACAGCUUGCGGGCAAUGAGCACUGGGAGAUGCUGUGCUGCAUACACCCAAGUCUGGUCUCCUUCCUGCCCGCCUUGGAGUUCUCGGACCGCCUGGUGAAGGACCCCCAGCUUGCUUCAGACUGGCUCACCAAACUGGCCUCCUCAGUCAACCAGAUCUCCAGCUUUUACUACACCAUUGUGACAUCUGUGUUCCUCUACCAGGGCUCCACACCACAGUCUGUCCAGCAGGCCACCAAGGUGUUGGAGAAGGAGGUGAUGAAGCAGAAGUGCCUGGGCUUGGAGGUGUUCCCAAUGGUGCUGUACCGCCUGGGCCGUGAGCCUGACCCCACCACCCGCCUCACCAUCCUGUACACCCUCCCCUCCCUGGCUGUCAACAAGCUGUGUGUGGGGCAGGUGCUGAAGACCCUGCUGGCACUGUGGUCCUCCAGCAGCCUCCGCCCCCUGGUGCUGCGUCUGGUGCAUGACCUGUGGAGGGUGGAGCCGCGUACCUACUCCUACCUCUCCCGCCUCCUCCAAGACAAGUCCAUCGACACCACUGAGCUGCAGAUCGCCCGUGCAUUUGUUGUGACCAGUGUGUGCAAGGCUAAACCAAACCAGCACGGGGAGGAGCUGCUUCCAAUGCUGUCUGGGUUCCUGAAUGAGUGCCAGGGAGAGCAGGGCACGGCACAGACCCUCAUCGCCCUGGACGGCAUCCACCACCUGUGUGCCAGCCAGGUGAUUGACCUCCGCACCACCUGGCGAGUCAUUGCCCCCAAGCUAGUGCGGGACAAGCGGCCGGGUAUCACAGAGAAGCUGUGUGCCCUGCUUGCCCUCAUCCCAGCCCUCAAAGUGGAGAGUGCAGAAUAUCAGAAGUUUACAUCAGACUGCAUCACCAUCCUCUGGAACUGGGUGGCCUCUCAUAGGACACUGUCAGUGGUGAAGGCUGCUUAUGAAGCCCUGGAGAAGUUCCCUUACGACAGCUACACCCUCAAGAUGCUGCCCCAGUAUGCUCGGGAGGGACACCAGCUGCCAGCCAGCAAGGCAGCCACACCCUUUGAGGCGGCACGGAAGCCUGAGGAUGUGUUGGACUAUGUUCCUGGUCUUGGCUGGAUCAAACUGAUAACAGGCUGUCCAGAAUCUCACCUUGAAUUUGUGGAGAGUUUCACCAAGAGUCUGGUGGCUCGGGAGGUUGCUGCCCUGCCCAAGGGGAUUUACCUCACUGCUGUCCAGGAGGCCAAGCGCAAGGGUGUCAAGUCUGCCAGCGGCCAGCCUGAGCCUCCGUCGUACAGCUUUUUCAAAGAUCACUCCACACUGAAGGCUUUGGUAAGCUUUCUCAUUGACUGUCCUCUCCUGAUGGAGAGAUGUGAUGACCCCAGGAGGAAGGAAAGACUCCUGAGGAGCUGUGUGAUCAUCAUGGAGGCGCUGGGCCAGUCUCUGCCUCGGCCCUACCCAGUUGUCAAUUGGAGCUUUUUGGAGAAGGUGCUGAGCUCAGCCCAUGCAUUAGCAAACUAUGAGUGGACAAAGCGUAUUCGUCACAGCAUAUUUCAGAUCACCAGUCGACAGUGCAACAAGUCCGGGUCGGCCAGCACCAUCAUCAGCCAGUGGCUCAUGCCUGGCUCGGGCAGUGGCCUCACCAAGGAGGAUGAGCUGGUGUUGUUUAGCCUGCUGGAGCACAUAGGGCGUGGCCUUCCCCCUACUGUUCUGCAGCCUUUCUUGGCAAAUGUGUUCAAGCAGCACCAGGGUGAUGCAGCCCACAUGAAGGUUCUGCUGCAGGCGCUGCGGCCCAAUCUCACUGCUGACUUCAUUUUUGACACAAACAGGAAUGUGCUGAGCAAUACAGUGGAGGGCCUCAAUGAGCACAUGGACCCCACAGACGAGAACCUGUACUCCGCCUACAAGGCUUGUGUGGCUGACCUGCCCCAGAAGCACAUUGAGCGCCUCACCUCACCCUCACUGUGGUGGGAGGUGACAGACGAGAGGCUGUACCGUGCCGCCGUGCUGCGCUGCCAUGUGGCUGAGCGGGAUGCCGAGGAGCUGGCACUGCCUUGGCUCAACGAUCUAGUGGACUCAGCUGCCACCCUGCCUGGCGACCGCUCCCACCUGCUUCGGGUCAUGUCCACCACGCUGGUGACGCGCUGUCAGGUUGUGGAGGCCACCACCUGGUUCCUGCAGCUGCUGGGCCGCCUGCAGGAGCACAUGAAGAAGCGACGUGGAGAUGAUCUAGUGGCAGCCCAUGAACAGAGACAGCUGGUGACCUUCUACCUGGACCUGCUGGUGAUGAGCCUGGUUGUGUGGUCAGGCCUUUGGGCCACUAACAGCAUGGAGGUGCUGGCUGACAGCCCUCCACUCAGGGACCGCCUGCUCCUGCCCUCCUUGGUGACCCUCUCUGGCCAGCCAGAGUGGAAGAAGACCCUUACCCAGCUGCUGAGUUGGCUGGUGUCCUGUUACUCCCUGCUCUCCCAGCACUCCACCAUCUACUACCACCUGUCCUCCCCCAUCCUGCUGCUGGCCACCCUCAACCCCACCCUCACACAGACUAUGUGGAACAAAAUCAUUGCUAUCCUUGUCUAAGCCUGGUCUUUAUUGACAUGAGUCCUGUGGUUAUUGAAGGUCAUUGCAGUGCCUUGCUUAAUGAUAAGUCAGUCAUUACUGGAUUUGCUUUACUAAUACUCCAUUAUUAAAUCCAACUUUUCACAUGGAGUAAUCACUCUUUUCCACUAUUGUUAUAACUGCUUGAUUGAUUCAUUGUACAUGCUUACUGUGAAAACCACACACAUCACCAUGGUGUGACUUGCUCAGAAGUGUCUCCAGUACCAUCACCUAUUGUUACUAAAGCCAGGAAGAUCACAGCUACACAGGACUCACCAGAAAGCAGAUCAGCAGGGCAACCAUGAUGCAACCAAACAGAAUAACCUUUUGUCUGAUAUCAGCACCCUCUAAUACUCCUCCCCUGGCCUUCUUUCCACGCCCAGACCCUCGCAUCCCACCCAGAGAGCUUCCACGGUGCGGUCAUUCCCCAGCACUCUGUCUCUGGAUGUGGCCAGUGAUUAUCUGCUGUGAUUUAGACUCCAAGUAAUCUGGUCUCUGUGGCCAAGGAUGGGAUGUCCUUUCUAGACUAAGGCAUUACCUGGCCAAAAUGGUCUUCAGAUGUACCCAGGCAGUAACAACCCCAGCCUUGGAUUUGGCCAGGGCACGUCUUACCCGGCCUACCCGCCUGCCCCGGGAGGAUCACCCUAUCCGCCUGCUGGGGGCGUAGCUCCCUAUCCCCCGGCCCCUGGGGCGGCACCUUACCCCCCCCCAGCUCCUGGAGCGUCACCCUAUCCCCCUGCCC